ensembl:lncRNA
UUCUUGGUGGAGUUCCCUGCAUACCUGAGGUCUUCUUGGGGUGCCCUUUCUGAUGACUGGAAGAAAGAAUUUUGGAAACUACCAUAGUUAUCACUUUGCUGCUUCUAUUUCCCAAAUCCUGCUGCUGAUGAGACAGACAUCUCUGCUCUAAUAUGGCCAGUGCUAACUCUGGAAAGCAAAACUUAGUGGCUCACUCAGGGGAUUGGUAAUUGGAUAUAGAGCCUUUCACCUCCAGGUCAGUGGUUCAGAUUUGUUACAGGUCAGUACUGCCUGGGAGUUGUUACCAUGUGACAGCUGCUCAGUAGCCUUUGUGAAAUGAGUUGGUGGUCCCAGCUCAUUUCCUUGAAAGCAGGUGUCUUCAGCACAGAUCAAACUUGAGGGCGGCAGUGCAAAACCCAUUGUUGGUGGAGAAGAGCAAUUGCACUUGGGUAUUAUGCUGAGAGCUACGUUUCACCAUUUGUAUAAACUGGAAAAAAAAAUGCACAAGAGUAAAUAUACAUGUCUAGAUCCUCAGCUGGCAUAGAUUUGGCAUAGAUCCAUUAAGUGUGGGUGCAGCGAUUAUCACCAGCUGAGGAUCCCCAGACAAAUGUAAAUCUCCAAGCAGAAAAUGUUUCCAACAUUGAAAUAGAGUUGAGCGUGGAAAACAUGUAUCAGUAAUCAGUAAAGGUUACUGAUGUUACAGUAAUAUUUUAAUUAGCUAAAGACAAUUACUAAUUCAAAUAACUUAAAAUUAAAAUCACAUUUAAAACAGAUCCAGGCUUGCUGAAAUUUGGAAUAGCAUUAAUUCUUUCAUCUAGUGAUGCCCCAAGAUAACCAUACAAUUAUAGUUAAUGCAUUUUACUGUUUGUUGUCCCAAAGGAGAAGAAAUUGGAUUUCAAAGAUACAUUAGUGUCCAACUUUUAAUGACUCUGUGCUUUUAACAGCUUUGCCUGUGCUUCUGUCUCAACUUCCAGGGCAACAAAGCCAAGCAAGCAAUUCUGAACCUUUGAGGUGUAGUGAUGGUGGAAGUGAAGGCUUCUACCGAGGGAGCUCCUCAGCACUAGGGGAGUGUAAAUGUCUCUGAGCAGUUGCUUUAAAAGUUUUUGCAGUUGGAUAGUAGUUCAGUUAGCUCUGAUAUGAUGAAAGUCUUGUUUAAGAGGGAGUCUGUCUUGUCUGGCGGUAUCCAACAGGAAGAUAAGAGAAACAUUUGCUCUAGGAAAAAAACAAUUUCUGUUAUGCUGAGAUUUCACUGCUGUGCUUCAAGUUGGAGUUGUUAUUCUAGUAACGCUAUCAACUGGGACAAUAAAGAAAGGCACGAGGUGUCUAAUUU